UACAGAGGUCUCAAGCGUUUGUUCGGAUUCAUUGGGCGUAAAGGGCGCGUAGGCGGCGGGGUAAGUCGGGUGUGAAAUCUCAGGGCUCAACUCUGAAACUGCACUCGAUACUGCUCUGCUUGAGGACUGGAGAGGAGACUGGAAUUCACGGUGUAGCAGUGAAAUGCGUAGAUAUCGUGAGGAAGACCAGUGGCGAAGGCGGGUCUCUGGACAGUUCCUGACGCUGAGGCGCGAAGGCCAGGGGAGCAAAGCGGG
rnacentral:rRNA from 1 species